AUGCCAUGGUGCGGACACUUCACCAACAUACCCUUAAACCUCUCCCAGGUUUCUUGCAAAGUCUCAGUCGAUUUCUGCCUGAACUGCAAUAUCUCAUCAAUUUGCCU
rfam:Nicotiana attenuata strain TT chromosome 10, whole genome shotgun sequence.